AAUUAUAUAUAUAUAUAAAUUCGCCAUCUGGAAAUAGUAAUUGUUGAAUUAGUGGCGUGUUUACUAUUAAGAUUUUAUUUUAAAUAAGAAAAAAAUGCUGAAUAUAUAAAAAUUACCCUGAAUUCAAUGACCCAAGAAUAGUAGUGUUAAGAUUACAUUGGAUAGCUGGGCACGGUGGCUCACGCUUGUAAUCCCAGCACUUUGGGAGGCCAAGGUGGGUGGAUCACAAGGUCAAGAGAUCUAGACCAUCCUGGCCAACAUGGUGAAAGCCUGUCUCUACUAAAAAUACAAAAAUUAGCUGGGCGUGGUGGCACGUGCCUUCAGUUCCAGCUACUCAGGAAACUGAGGCAGGAGAAUUGCUUCAAACUGUGAGGUGGAGGUUGCAUUGAUGUGAGAUCGUGACACUGCACUCCAGCCUGGCAACGGAGCAAGAUUCUGUCUAAAAAAAAAAAAAAAGAUUACAUUAGAUAAACAUUUUCAGAUAUCUUUCUGUAUAUACACACAACAUACAGAGAGAGAGAGAGAGAAAUGCUUUUAGAAAACCAGGACCAUAUCUAGAAUUUAUUUUACAUAAAACAAAAACAAACUACAUGCAAAUUUUCCUUUAUAUAAUGGAAUAAAAAAUGACUUUAGGAAUUACUGAACUUGCUUUUUCACUUUAAGAUUUAAUAUUUUCCAGCCAGAUGCGGUGGCUCGUGCCUGUUAUCUCAGCACUUUGGAAGGCUGAGUCAGGUGGGUCAUUUGAGGUCACAAGUUCAAGACCAGCCUGGCCAACAUGGUAAAACCUUAUCUCUACUAAAAAUACAAAAAUUAUCUGGGUGUGCUAGUGCACACCUAGGCAGAAUUGUUUGAACCUGGGAGGUGGAAGUUGCGGUGAGCUGAGAUCACACCACUAUGCUCCAGCCUGGGCAACAGAGCAAAACUCUGUUUCCAAAAAAAAAAAAAAAAAAAAAAAAAAAAAAAAUAUACUUUUUUCAAAAACACAUCUUUAGCGCUUACAUGAUUAAUGAAUGGAACAAAUUGUUAGUUAUUUGGAUUUGACCCACUUGGUAGAGAUUUUCAAAUGGAAAAAUAAGUUCUUUUUUUCAGAGUAAAAACAUAGGAAAGGCUAGCAAAAUAUAUCCCCUUCUCCCCGUCAAUUUGACACUCAUUUUGCAACUAAAAUUGUUGACAUUAACUUAAUUUUAAUUAUGCUUUUGAUAUCUAAAAAAAUUGGAGUUAUUUGCUGUCAUUUAUUUAUUUCCUUUACAUAAGUAAUGACUGGCUUAUUUUAUUGAAAUAUUGGAUCAGGAAUAAAAGUGGUAGAAUAGCAAUAACUUUGAUCAUUAGUGGUCAGAUAUUUAUCUAAAAACUACUCAAAUAACUCAAUAACAACAACCAACGUAAUAAAUACUUAUUAGGUACAGGAACACCUUACCUAUGUCCUUAGUUAAGCCAUUUAAAAUCAUGUUUAAGGUUUAAUUUGUGCUGCUUAAAACUAAUCGGGACAUACACAUGUAACAUCUCAAGAUAGCCUAAGUUAGUAUAUAUGUUAAAAUACCUUCUAUGGAGAUUUUUUUUAAAAGCUGACUGGGAAACUCUAAGUUUUCAAUUAAGGAAAUUUGCAGUGAGAUCACUAUAUUUUGAAAUUCUGUAUCUUCCAAAGAAUAUAUUUUCAUUAUUAAUUUAAA
ensembl:lncRNA